rnacentral:misc_RNA from 1 species
AAUGUGGUGCAUUCAGAAACUGAUGGAUUGAAAAUGUUGAAAGUGCUUAAAAUUUGUGGAGUUAAAAUGUGAUAUGAGUGUGUAUUGUGUGCAAUUACAGAAUUUUAACAUUUAAGUAGAACUUAAUGUAAUUUUAACGUUUAAGUAGAACUGGGGUUAAAUUUAAACAGUUAGGUACAUAUUGUGCCCUAGAGAAAAUGUAGCUGAUAUGUACAGUGAGAAUAUCGAUAGAGGAUGCAGUGAAGAAAAUUGGAAAUGAGAAUGAUUUUGAGAAAAGUUUCAAUUAGUACAAAUAGAUUACUGUUUGUUAUGUUUCAUUCCAGAUUGCAUCAGGUUUCUUUCUUCAAACACUGCAUCAUGAAGAGUAUUUAUGUAGACCAUUUUGUAUAUAAACUGGGUACAUUAUAAUGUUUAAACCUCUAAUUAGUUUUCAAGACUCUAAUUUCGAUCUAACCAGAACAAAGUUAAAUCUAGAUGUACAUUGUAUACCACCAUCCUCCAAGUUACAAUUAGUUGUCCCAGUUAUCCUAUUGUGACAAGGUUGAUACAUGUAUUAAUGAUAAGAUGGUACAGUAUUAUAAACGUUGGUGUACAUGUGCAUACAAAGAUGUAUGGAAAUAUAUUUAAAUCUGGUACGGUACAACAGAAAUUCUCUUGUAUUUACUUACAAAGAUAAGACACAAUUUACUCAAUUCGUGAAAUGAAAAUUUUUAUCAUGAUAUAUGCUAUACAUUUAUUGAUCAUCACGUAUUUAUGAAUUCUAUCUCUGUAAUAAAACCUUUAUCUAUAC